CCUACGGGUGGCUGCAGUGGGGAAUAUUGCACAAUGGGCGCAAGCCUGAUGCAGCUAUGCCGCGUGUGUGAAGAGGGCCUUCGGGUUGUAAAGCACUUUCAGCGGGGAGGAAGGCGUUAAGGUUAAUAACCUUGGCGAUUGACGUUACCCGCAGAAGAAGCACCGGCUAACUCCGUGCCAGCAGCCGCGGUAAUACGGAGGGUGCAAGCGUUAAUCGGAAUUACUGGGCGUAAAGCGCACGCAGGCGGUCUGUCAAGUCGGAUGUGAAAUCCCCGGGCUCAACCUGGGAACUGCAUUCGAAACUGGCAGGCUAGAGUCCUGUAGAGGGGGGUAGAAUUCCAGGUGUAGCGGUGAAAUGCGUAGAGAUCUGGAGGAAUACCGGUGGCGAAGGCGGCCCCCUGGACAAAGACUGACGCUCAGGUGCGAAAGCGUGGGGAGCAAACAGGAUUAGAUACCCCAGUAGUC
rnacentral:rRNA from 1 species